AGUGAACGCUGGCGGUAGGCCUAACACAUGCAAGUCGAACGGCAGCACAGUAAGAGCUUGCUCUUACGGGUGGCGAGUGGCGGACGGGUGAGGAAUACAUCGGAAUCUACUUUUUCGUGGGGGAUAACGUAGGGAAACUUACGCUAAUACCGCAUACGACCUACGGGUGAAAGCAGGGGAUCUUCGGACCUUGCGCGAUUGAAUGAGCCGAUGUCGGAUUAGCUAGUUGGCGGGGUAAAGGCCCACCAGGGCGACGAUCCGUAGCUGGUCUGAGAGGAUGAUCAGCCACACUGGAACUGAGACACGGUCCAGACUCCUACGGGAGGCAGCAGUGGGGAAUAGUGGACAAUGGGCGCAAGCCUGAUCCAGCCAUACCGCGUGGGUGAAGAAGGCCUUCGGGUUGUAAAGCCCUUUUGUUGGGAAAGAAAAGCAGCAGGUUAAUACCCCGCUGUUCUGACGGUACCCAAAGAAUAAGCACCGGCUAACUUCGU
rnacentral:rRNA from 1 species